rnacentral:rRNA from 1 species
UACGUAGGGGGCAAGCGUUGUCCGGAAUCAUUGGGCGUAAAGAGCGUGUAGGCGGCUCGGUAAGUCCGCUGUGAAAGUCCAGGGCUCAACCCUGGAAUGCCGGUGGAAACUGUCGAGCUCGAGUCCGGAAGAGGCGAGUGGAAUUCCUGGUGUAGCGGUGAAAUGCGCAGAUAUCAGGAGGAACACCCAUAGCGAAGGCAGCACUCUGGGCCGGUACUGACGCUGAGGAGCGAAAGCGUGGGGAGCAAACAGG